UGGAGUUUAGGAUAACCUAAACCAAGAGCCUUCAAAGCCCUAAAUAGAAGUUAAACUCUUCUAACCCCAG
rnacentral:tRNA from 1 species